ACGCUCGACACCUACUGGAGGCAGCAGUGGGGAAUAUUGCACAAUGGGGGAAACCCUGAUGCAGCGACGCCGCGUGAGUGAAGAAGUAAUUCGUUAUGUAAAGCUCUAUCAGCAGGGAAGAAAGUGACGGUACCUGAGUAAGAAGCCCCGGCUAACUACGUGCCAACAGCCGCGGUAAUCUGAGCGGGCUGGCAAGGC
rnacentral:rRNA from 1 species